UAUAAAUUAUUACAUAAAUAAAAGAUAGUUCCUUUAUGUAAUAUAAGGAGAAGAAUUAAUAUUAUAAUUGUCGUAACACAAUGGAAUGGAUAACUAUGUAAUCCGAGUAGUUGACUGUUAAAACAUUGGCCUAAACCAAGUCCGUUCUCAAGCACAGACGCUCAAAUCGAUACAGAUUUAUCCCUCUAGUGCUAUCCUUGCGAAGCUGGGGGUUGCACAAACUGUAAGACACGUACGGACGAGGAUUUAGUACUCGAAGAGACAACGCUAAUUCAUAAAUAAAAUAGUAAUUAACUGCGGAUAGAUGGCCAAGCAGGCGCCUUUUGUGGAAACAUGUAACGCUAAUAAAAUUGCUGCUACGAUAGUUGGACGUAAGUUUCGUAAGUUGAUAAUGCAUGCGGAUGAAUUGUGGGAGAUCUCUGCGGAAUUGAAUCUAUUAAAGAGCUAGGGAGAGUGUGGGCGUUUCCGUGACUCGCAUUCAACACGUGUCAUUCGAUACGUAAGAUGUUAUUCCGUGUCAUAAAGCUAAUGCUCAUCACGCCGAUCUUAUCCAACUUCUUAAUUAAUUUCGCUAAUUACCCUCGACGAUCGAUCGAAAGCUGAAUCGAGCGUAAUACUGUGCGCACAGCCGGCGUAGGAAGUUCAAUUAAUCUUGAAAUGUUUUGUUACCGACACUGUAUGGUACACGCUGAUACUGCAUAUCGGGUGAUUCCAAAUCGAACGAUUCAUUUGUUUUUAAAACGUCCUAUUCUGCUCGAUCAAAGUUCGAAUCGACUUCGUAUUGGCAGCAACGUUGCUUCAGCGAUAAGUCACGCUGCUCAAGUUAUUCUAAUCUAAAUUACAUUUUAAAAUAAAUACGUGUUUAGCCUGCUCUGAUCACUGAAUUCUUUAUGCCUCGAGAUAGCUUUCGUUUCGAUCGAAAAACGUACUUUUAACGUUUUAAGAGACAGAAUGAAAAAAAAAAAAAAACAUAGAAAUAGAAUAUAACGUAAUACAGUAAAAGUUGAACGAGAAGAUCGCGUAUGUUGCAUUUUUCUUUUUCUCAAACUCGAGAAAUUUUCGAACGAAAAAGAAACGCUAUCGAAUUGAAAAUGACUCGAGAUUAAGGUGUACUGGGAACGAAUCAUUGAGACAUAUAUAGGACCAAUGACGAAAUUAAAGAUACAAAUAUGAUGUAAUAUAAUGAUAUAAUAUUCGUGCAAAUGAAACGACGAAAUAUGCGAAGCGGAGGUUGAAUUCAUAUGCGCACGAGGAGAGAUAGCGAGGAAGGUUAUAUGGACACGUAGCAGAUAAGAAUUGGCUGCAUUCGCAACGGUACUGCGGCUUUUAAAAAGAGCUAUUGUAUCUCAUAGAAGUAAAACUCUGGCAGAAAUCAGGAAAUUUUCAGAUAAAGAAAGGUGGCACGCGAUUUAAAAAUUUCAGAAAGUUUACGACAAGGAGAUGAGAAUUUUUUCAACAAUAAUACGCAGAAGUUUAGAAAGUCGAGUCGAGUUGUAAGGAAAGUAAGAUCAUCGAAGGAUCGUUUAAAAUAGAAAAAUCUGAUGAAACGAAGAUGCAACUAGUUCUUACAAAGCUGUAAAUUUUGUUGGAAUUUACCAAAGGAAAAGCAGAACGAAGAAGAAGUAUUUCGAGUGUUAGCUUAGCUGUAACGUUCGGUUAGAAGUCUAUUUAUUUAGAUCUCGAAUGUACCACUCGCACGCUUUGUAUAACUGUCGAAAUAUGUGAUAAUAGGAUUACGAGAAAUUCAUAUCUUGAUUAAAUAUCGUUAAUAGUUAAUUGAGUACACAAGACGCGUGCAAGCAAUAACGUAGGCGAAGAAGGAAUAUGUGUAUCAAUUGGUUUAAUUAUUACUGGAUUGAAUUUCACUAAUGAUAUGCAAACAAUAUAGAUGCCACUGUUACAUUAUUUCAUAUACACGAGUCUAAUGAAUCUAAAAUAAAAUAAAAUAAAAUAAGUAGCAUGUAAAUUAUUGACGUAUUUACAACACGGAGGUAGAGGAAAGAGCUAAGACACAAGGUGGUUGCAUGACAGUAAACGAGGACAAUGGGGAAACAAGUACGGAAGAUGGCUAGUAGAGCGUAAAAAUCUAUUUCCAAUAAUCAGCAAACGAUUAAACGUGGCAAGCACAGUACAAAUAGCGUUGGAGUAUUGAGGCGCGUGGUGGUGUCACAAAGUCUAGAGGAAUUAGAUACAAGAGUACUUUAAAAACCUCAAGAAUCAAGUAACCUAGGAAGGAACGAGGUUACUAAACUAUAAUAAAACAGUCUGGAUACGAGGAACAAUUAAUUCCUCAGCGAAUGAUAAUUGAUGAAAAGAAGAAAAUAGAAAAAGAUCAAAACGAGAAGAACUGUAGGGAAAUUUUAAUAAAAUAAUUGGAUUAAGAUUUAGGUGAGUCUAAGAAAAGAUGGGGUUUAGAUAGCAUGGAUUUCGUUUAGGCGACGAAUUAAACUGGAAGAAACACGUCCAAGAGAAAAUGAAACAAAUAAAAAUUACCGGAAUCUCGACGUAUCGGCUUAGAACGAGAAAAUAUCAACAUAUUAGAAUAUGUAAACAUCAAAAUAUUAGAAUAUCUCCAACGCGUCGUGGUUCUUAUUAGAAACUACUGUACAAAGAAAACCUUAAAAAUUCCCACAGUCGAAGAAGGAAUUAGGCACACCAAAGCACAAAUAACAACAAACAGCCAGACGAACCUACUAGCUAAAAACUGCUGCACGAACUUACCGAGAAGACUCAAGAUAAGACGCUCCUCCGACUUACUCAUUCUCACGCUUCGUUCGGUGAUUGCCGAUAGUUGUAUCGAAAUCCACGGGAUUCGCUUCAACUUCUCAAAAGAGGUUCUCAAAAGAGGGCAUUUAAUAAAGGAGAUAGCAAAUGAGAACUUGUUAGAUAUUAUGAGUAUCAUAAAGUAUUACUAUAGUAUUCGUACAUUUUAUCGUAUCUUCGUAUAUUGAGAGGAUUGUUGCACCUUCGAAUCUCCCGUUGUUAGUCAUGCGUAUAAUUAUUUAUUAUAUUCGUGAAAGAUUAUAGGAAUCGAGCAUCCUACACCUACAUACCGCUCUAAUAAUAAUUCCUCGUAUAAUAAAUAGUUUUAUAACACGUUGAAAAUCGCAGUAUCAAGUAAGUCGGAUGAAUAGAUAGCACGUUAUACGAAAACUUUCUGACCCCGUGUGUAUCGCAACAUCUGCAUUGUAAAGUAAACUCUCGCACAUCUUGUCAUUGAUAAACUUGCUAUCACUGAUAACGUACACAAACACCGAAUAUGCCCGUGCAACGCCUGGGAAAAACGACGACUCCUCGCCACGUGUUUGCCUAGUUUGCUAACCGUUUCAUACGCAUGCACGUACGAUUCACGUUGUUAAAUAAAACGAUAAAUUACGUAUGACGCAAGAAAUAUUACUAUUUGAUAUAUAUACACUUGAUGUUGGUGGAAGGUAAAUCGUUGUGCAUGGAAGUACGUGGAAGAGAGUUAAACAAGCGAAGGCAAGUGCCGAGGUGAAAAAAACGUGGAAUGAAAGAAGAAACCAGAAAUAGAUCCUUGCUCUCUUUUAAAACAAACAGCUCUCACAAGCGCGCCAUUCGAAACAGCCCCUCGACAUAAAAACACGUGUUUAUUUUCAGCAUGCGCGAGCUUCUUUCACAUUCUGUACAACAAUGUCCGACCAGUCUCAAAGGAUUCACACGCAGCACGAUAUGGCAACGAGCGUGACAAGUGUUCCGAUGAUUUUUCUCCUCUUCCUGUUAGAUCAUAGAUGUGCAGAAUGUUUUAUGUAAUCGAUUCGCCGUUUGUAGCGAUAUCGUA